UACGGAGGGUGCAAGCGUUGUCCGGAUUUAUUGGGUUUAAAGGGUGCGUAGGCGGCUUGAUAAGUCAGUGGUGAAAGCCCGCAGCUCAACUGUGGAACUGCCAUUGAUACUGUUUAGCUUGAGUUUGGUUGAGGUAAGCGGAAUGGAUGGUGUAGCGGUGAAAUGCAUAGAUAUCAUCCAGAACACCGAUAGCGAAGGCAGCUUACUGAGCCGAUACUGACGCUGAGGCACGAAAGCAUGGGUAGCGAACAGG
rnacentral:misc_RNA from 1 species